AGUGAACGCUGGCGGUAGGCCUAACACAUGCCAGUCGAACGGCAGCACAGUAAGAGCUUGCUCUUACGGGUGGCGAGUGGCGGACGGGUGAGGAAUACAUCGGAAUCUACUUUUUCGUGGGGGAUAACGUAGGGAAACUUACGCUAAUACCGCAUACGACCUACGGGUGAAAGCAGGGGAUCUUCGGACCUUGCGCGAUUGAAUGAGCCGAUGUCGGUUUAGCUAGUUGGCGGGGUAAAGGCCCACCAAGGCGACGAUCCGUAGCUGGUCUGAGAGGAUGAUCAGCCACACUGGAACUGAGACACGGUCCAGACUCCUACGGGAGGCAGCAGUGGGGAAUAUUGGACAAUGGGCGCAAGCCUGAUCCAGCCAUACCGCGUGGGUGAAGAAGGCCUUCGGGUUGUAAAGCCCUUUUGUUGGGAAAGAAAAGCAGCAGGUUAAUACCCCGCUGUUCUGACGGUACCCAAAGAAUAAGCACCGGCUAACUUCGUG
rnacentral:rRNA from 1 species